AACGAACGCUGGCGGCAUGCCUAACACAUGCAAGUCGAACGAGACCUUCGGGUCUAGUGGCGCACGGGUGCGUAACGCGUGGGAACCUGCCCUUAGGUUCGGAAUAACUCCCCGAAAGGGGUGCUAAUACCGGAUAAUGUCUUCGGACCAAAGAUUUAUCGCCUUUGGAUGGGCCCGCGUUGGAUUAGCUAGUUGGUAGGGUAAAAGCCUACCAAGGCGACGAUCCAUAGCUGGUCUGAGAGGAUGAUCAGCCACACUGGGACUGAGACACGGCCCAGACUCCUACGGGAGGCAGCAGUGGGGAAUAUUGGACAAUGGGCGAAAGCAUGAUCCAGCCAUGCCGCGUGAGUGACGAAGGCCUUAGGGUUGUAAAGCUCUUUUACCCGGGAUGAUAAUGACAGUACCGGGAGAAUAAGCGCCGGCUAACUCCGUG
rnacentral:rRNA from 1 species